GGCAAGAUGGCCGAGCGGUUAAGGCGUGUGACUCAAGUUCUCAUAACGUAAUGUUGCGUGGGUUCGAGUCCCACUCUUGUCA
rnacentral:tRNA from 1 species